GUGCUCACUUUGGCAGCACAUAUACUAAAAUUGAAACAAUAGAAGAUUAGCAUGGCCCCUGCAAAUUCAAGAAGUGUUCCAUAUAUUU
ensembl:snRNA U6 U6 spliceosomal RNA